GAUGAACGCUGGCGGCGUGCCUAAUACAUGCAAGUCGAGCGAACAGACGAGGAGCUUGCUCCUCUGACGUUAGCGGCGGACGGGUGAGUAACACGUGGAUAACCUACCUAUAAUACUGGGAUAACUUCGGGAAACCGGAGCUAAUACCGGAUAAUAUAUUGAACCGCAUGGUUCAAUAGUGAAAGACGGUUUUGCUGUCACUUAUAGAUGGAUCCGCGCCGCAUUAGCUUGUUGGUAAGGUAACGGCUUACCAAGGCAACGAUGCGUAGCCGACCUGAUAGGGUGAUCGGCCAAACUGGAACUGAGACACGGUCCAGACUCCUACGGGAGGCAGCCGUAGGGAAUCUUCCGCAAUGGGCGAAAGCCUGACGGAGCAACGCCGCGUGAGUGAUGAAGGUCUUCGGAUCGUAAAACUCUGUUAUUAGGGAAGAACAAAUGUGUAAGUAACUAUGCACGUCUUGACGGUACCUAAUCAGAAAGCCACGGCUAACUACGUG
rnacentral:rRNA from 1 species